UGGGGAAUAUUGGACAAUGGGCGCAAGCCUGAUCCAGCCAUGCCGCGUGAGUGAUGAAGGCCUUAGGGUUGUAAGCUCUUUCGACCGGGACGACCCGUUGGCUAACAUCCAGCGGCUUGACGGUACCGGGAGAAGAAGCACCGGCUAACUCU
rnacentral:rRNA from 1 species